rnacentral:tRNA from 1 species
GGGGGCGGCAGGUUGCUAGCUGGGUCUCCAAAACUCGGGCUAUCGGGUUCAAAUCCCGACGCCUCCACCA